UCGUGUGCCAGUUUCUCUUCUCAGCUCCUUCAUCAAUAUGACUUUUUACUUUUACAUUAUUUUUCUUCUAAGUGGACUAACAGGAACUCAUAGUGUGACUACAGUCACAAAAGUAUCAGUAAAAGCUGGACGGUCUCUCUCAAUCCCCUGUCUCUAUGGCACACAGUAUCGAAACCAUGUGAAAUACUUGUGCAAAGGAUCUCGCUGGCGUUCAUGCUCAUAUGCAAUUAAAACAAAUGAACGACAGAAGUCAAAAAAGUUUUCUAUAUCUGAUGAUAAAGAUCAAAGAAUCUUCACAGUGACCAUGAGAGAGUUAACAAAUGAAGACAGUCACUUCUGGUGUUUUGUGGAGAAUAAUAAUGGCCCAGAUGAUGGAGAGUAUUUUCACUUGUCAGUCACCACAGGUCCCCCCAUCCUCAGUGUGAGAGAUCAGAAGAUUACAGGGUUUAUAGGAGAAAAUGUAUCCAUUGAAUUUCACAACUGCAUCUCAGACAGACUGCAAUGGUGCAGGUUGGGUGGGGCCUGUGUGGAAAACCCUUCUGGACUCAUGGAUGGAACAAGAGUGAUCAUUAAUAAGACAGGCCAUAAAGACUUCACUGUGACUUUGAGUGGACUGAAGCUUGAGAGCGGCGGCUGGUAUCUGUGUUCAUCAGGGGAAUAUCAGAUGCCAGUGCAUCUAUCUGUUUAUGGAAAAUCAGAAAUCAAUGCAGCCACCAUUACAGAAACAACAGUCACCUCACUUGAAAAUGAAAAAGACAGUAAUUUGUUGGACCUGGAACUCAUCAUUCGUCUGAGUGUAUUUAUAGUAAUCAUAUCUGUGACGUUGAUCAUGUGGCUUCUCCUGAGAUGUAAGCAGACAACAGCAGAAGCAGCAGUCCCAGCAAAGGUUGAAGAUGAAGUGGCUGACCACAAUGUUCUACAGAUAACCCAGGUCAACCAAACACACAGUAAUGUGCAUUUGAUAUAACAAUAACUAAUGAAUUGUUUCUAUUAUGCAGUCAUUAUAGUCACAGACCCGUCAAAAAAUGGUUCACCUGCCAGAAGUGAUGAGGGUGUGGCAUGUACAGCUCUGUAAUUGUUGUGAAACAACAGCCUGCUUAAAAGAGUGGAGCAGCACUGAAGAAACUACAUAUAGCACUGUGGCUGAGCGCUUUUAAGUUCUUCAUCCGUCAAUACCGCUUGGUGGAAGGAGGACACCCUGGACAAGUCAUCAGUCUAUCACACGAAAAUCAAAAACACACACAUUCACACAUUGGAGCAAUUUAACAUCAUCGAUUACCUCGCAUAUAGUAUUAUUUGGACUGCAAUUGCAAACUGGUGUACUUGCAAUAAUAACCCACCACAUGCACAGGCAGAACAUGCAAACAUAACAAUCUAUAAAGACUCGAGCACCUUAUGACCCCACUCUGACCUCUGAUAGCCUGUAUAUACCUGUAUGAUAUAUUAAUUUUACAGAUAUCACAGCUGUUGGUAUUGCUUGGUUUUACUUCACUGAGUAAA